UACGUAGGGGGCAAGCGUUGUCCGGAUUUAUUGGGCGUAAAGAGCGUGUAGGCGCCGCACAGGUCCGUUGUGAAAACUGGAGGCUUAACCUUCAGACGUCGAUGGAAACCGUGCGGCUAGAGUCCGGAAGAGGCGAGUGGAAUUCCUGGUGUAGCGGUGAAAUGCGCAGAUAUCAGGAGGAACACCAGUGGCGAAGGCAGUCAC
rnacentral:rRNA from 1 species